rnacentral:piRNA from 1 species
UACUAAGGCAGGUAGUCCCAAUAUGUGGC